AUGAAUGAGAUGCUGUACAGUACAAUCCUACUGACACAGCAGAGGGAUAACGACGGCUAUUCAACAUUGUUACACGACACAUUCGAGCUGCAUGAUGCAGACAAAGUGACUAAAUCAUCUUUUUUGUGUUCUAUUGUCUUCAAACCAGCAGACAAAGCUGAUGGCAGAAGAUGUUUGGAGAAGAACUUCAGGCCGUGGACUGAAAAGAUCAAAGCAGCUCGUGCUCUGUCUGCUUCCAUUCUGAUGGCAAGAAGAAGAAGAAGAAGAAGACUUCAGCGAAGUGGCGUUCAUGGCCUCAGUGGACAGUCAUGGUCACACACUGCAUGUGGUUUUAAAAGCAACAUGUCUGUUCACCACAACAAUGGAGAUGUGUAAUAUUAGUGCAGCUACGGUUUGUUCUUGAACAUCAGUUCUGUUUUCUACUUUGACCACUUAGAACAAAAAAAGUGUUGUUUUCAGAUUCUUUCUUAUAAAUCUGUAAAGCACCUGCUCAUUUUUUAUUACAAUUAGUUUCACAUAAAUGUUAGUGUUUCCUUUAUGAUCUUUUAAUGCUUACACUACGCUGUACACGUCUACAUUAGAGACAUUUCUGUUACCUAUUUAUGAGACUGGGCUGCUUGACUACAAUUUGGAAAUGGAUGCAAAAUCACAUGGAUCGUGCUAUUGUUUGUUUUUUAAUAUGAUGGACUGAACACAGGAGGUAUCUGACUAAGCAAAGAUUAGUCUGAUCCCAUUUCUACCUGUCUCUACUGUUUCAACAUUUCACUGAAGUUUGCUCAACUGUAACUGUCAGGAUAUAUAUUUAUUCCACCUCUCAUCGGGCAAAGAAAUGACUCAGACUUGUCAAAUGUUCUUUGACUUGAUACACAAUAUGAAGUUCACAAUUUUCUUACAAAUAAAACUAUAAUGACAAACAUGAACAGCUGUGCUUAUUUCUGAGACAUGAUUUUUUUGAAUGUGUUCAUAUUUAGACAUUUGUAUGCUGAAACUGUAAUGGUGAACCUGAGGUGAUGGUCAGCAGAAGGCAAAUAUAUAUAAAUAUAAAACAAUAUUGAAGUAAUGUCUUUACCCUGUGCAGCGUGUGGACGCUGUGCACACAAUCACCUUAUUCACUGUAGUAAACGUGCACCGCUAGCUCACGUGACUGACUGUCUCCAUGGUUACAUCGUAUAUUAUUAGCUAUGCAAACAGCUUCCAAAGAUACCGCCAUAGCUCUCUGCAGCUGUAACACUUUCACACUUUACAAAUCAUUUCACGUUUUUGAUAGUUAUGGAUAAAGAAUGUGUUUUAAAGA
rnacentral:lncRNA from 1 species